UGAUUGGCUCCUUUCUAUUUUGGCCCUUGUAUGUAGGUGACAUAGGGACCUCAGACUGUAAGCUCCUUGGGGGCGGGGACUGAUGUC